rnacentral:rRNA from 1 species
GACGAACGCUGGCGGCGUGCUUAACACAUGCAAGUCGAACGAAGAGCGAUGGAAGCUUGCUUCUAUCAAUCUUAGUGGCGAACGGGUGAGUAACGCGUAAUCAACCUGCCCUUCAGAGGGGGACAACAGUUGGAAACGACUGCUAAUACCGCAUACGAUCUAAUCUCGGCAUCGAGGAUAGAUGAAAGGUGGCCUCUACAUGUAAGCUCUCACUGAAGGAGGGGAUUGCGUCUGAUUAGCUAGUUGGUGGUGUAACGGCCCACCAAGGCGAUGAUCAGUAGCCGGUCUGAGAGGAUGAACGGCCACAUUGGGACUGAGACACGGCCCAGGCUCCUACGGGAGGCAGCAGUGGGGAAUCUUCCGCAAUGGACGAAAGUCUGACGGAGCAACGCCGCGUGAGUGAUGACGGCCUUCGGGUUGUAAAGCUCUGUUAAUCGGGACGAAAGGCCUUCUUGCGAAUAGUGAGAAGGAUUGACGGUACCGGAAGAGAAAGCCACGGCUAACUACGUG